rnacentral:rRNA from 1 species
GACGAACGCUGGCGGCGUGCUUAACACAUGCAAGUCGAACGGUGAAAGCGGAGCUUGCUCCGCUGGAUCAGUGGCGAACGGGUGAGUAACACGUGGGCAACCUGCCCCUCACUUCGGGAUAACUCCGGGAAACCGGGGCUAAUACCGGAUAUGACCUCCUUGGGCAUCCUUGGAGGUGGAAAGUUUUUCGGUGAGGGAUGGGCCCGCGGCCUAUCAGCUUGUUGGUGAGGUAGUGGCUCACCAAGGCGACGACGGGUAGCCGGCCUGAGAGGGCGACUGGCCACACUGGGACUGAGACACGGCCCAGACUCCUACGGGAGGCAGCAGUGGGGAAUAUUGCGCAAUGGGCGAAAGCCUGACGCAGCAACGCCGCGUGCGGGAUGACGGCCUUUGGGUUGUAAACCGCUUUCAGCAGGGAAGAAGCCGCAAGGUGACGGUACCUGCAGAAGAAGCACCGGCUAACUACGUGCCAGCCGCCGCAGUAA